AUGUGUUUUCUACAGUAAGGAAGGUUAACUUUUGUAUGUGUUUUCUACAGUAAGGAAGGUUAACUUUUGUAUAUGUUUUCUACAGUAAGGAAGGUUAACUUUUGUAUAUGUUUUCUACAGUAAGGAAGGUUAACUUUUGUAUGUGUUUUCUACAGUAAGGAAGGUUAAGUUUUGUAUAUGUUUUCUACAGUAAGGAAGGUUAACUUUUGUAUGUGUUUUCUACAGUAAGGAAGGUUAACUUUUGUAUAUGUUUUCUACAGUAAGGAAGGUUAAGUUUUGUAUAUGUUUUCUACAGUAAGGAAGGUUAACUUUUGUAUGUGUUUUCUACAGUAAGGAAGGUUAACUUUUGUAUGUGUUUUCUACAGUAAGGAAGGUUAACUUUUGUAUGUGUUUUCUACAGUAAGGAAGGUUAACUUUUGUAUGUGUUUUCUACAGUAAGGAAGGUUAACUUUUGUAUGUGUUUUCUACAGUAAGGAAGGUUAACUUUUGUAUGUGUUUUCUACAGUAAGGAAGGUUAACUUUUGUAUGUGUUUUCUACAGUAAGGAAGGUUAACUUUUGUAUGUGUUUUCUACAGCAAGGAAGGUUAACUUUUGUAUGUGUUUUCUACGGUAAGGAAGGUUAACUUUUGUAUGUGUUUUCUACAGUAAGGAAGGUUAACUUUUGUAUGUGUUUUCUACAGUAAGGAAGGUUAAGUUUUGUAUGUGUUUUCUACAGUAAGGAAGGUUAACUUUUGUACAUAUCAUUUAGAGUAAGGAAGGUUAACUUUUGUAUAUAUCAUUUAGUCACCACCAGGACAACACAGUAUAGUCAGCACACACUCAGUCAGCACUUUUGGUCAGCACUUUCAGUCAGCACUUUUGAUCAGCACUUUCAGUCAGCACUUUUGAUCAGCACUUUCAGUCAGCACUUUUGGUCAGCACUUUUGGUCAGCACUUUCAGUCAGCACUUUUGAUCAGCACUUUCAGUCAGCACUUUUGAUCAGCACUUUCAGUCAGCACUUUUGGUCAGCACUUUCAGUCAGCACUUUUGAUCAGCACUUUCAGUCAGCACUUUUGGUCAGCACUUUCAGUCAGCACUUUUGGUCAGCACUUUUGGUCAGCACUCACAAAGACAACACAAGCUAUCACACUGCACUCCUGUCAUCACGGAAGCUGUUUCUGGCAUACUAAUGAACUGAAUGAUGUGCUUAUGUGUGGUUUUGGGAUGUAGGUCAAGUUGUUCUUCCGUCCUUCCUUUCUUUCCUUCCUUCCUUCUUUCUUUCCUUCUUUUCCUUGGUUUCUUUCUUCCUUUCUCUCUUCCUCAACUUUUCUUUCCUUCUUUCUUUUCUUCCUUCUUCCUCUCUUCCUUCUUUCUUUCCUUCUUUUCCUCUACUUUCCUUUCCUUGGUUUCUUUCUUCCUUUCUCUCUUCCUCAACUUUUCUUUCCUUCUUUCUUUUCUUCCUUCUUCCUCUCUUCCUUCUUUCUUUCCUUCUUUUCCUCUACUUUCCUUUCCUUGGUUUCUUUCUUCCUUUCUCUCUUCCUCAACUUUUCUUUCCUUCUUUCUUUUCUUCCUUCUUCCUCUCCUCCUUCUUUCUUUCCUUCCCUUUUAGCCUUUCUUCUUUGCUUCCCUUUAUCUUCAACUUUUCCUUCUUUCUUUCUUUCUCUUCCUUCUUUCCUUCCCUCUCUCCUUCCUUCUUUCCUUCCCUUCCUUCUCUUCCUUCUUUCCUUUCCUUCAAUCUGAGUCAAACUGUUUUUCCUCCUUCCUCUCCUUCCUUCCUUCCCUUCCCUUUCUUUCUUCCUUCCUUCUCGGUCUAUCCUCAACUCAAAAUCUUAACUGGAAGCUUCACAUCUCCUCUCUCACUAAAUCAGCUUCCCCGAGGUUGAGCGUUCUGUAUCGUCUCCGCCAGUUCUUUUUUCAACCGCGCAGAAACACUAGAGGCUUUGUCCGCCCUAGUAUGGAGUAUGUAACCAUCUCACUUAUUGGGGGCACACACACACACACACACACACACACACACACAGUCAGUCAGUCAGUCAGUCAGUCAGCCACCCCCACAGUCAGCCAGUCAGCGGUAUGGUGGGUUUCAUUGUGUUAACUGGCCCACCAACAAUUUAAUGAGAGAAGAUGAAGCCAUGUCGCUCUCUCUCAACCUCCUAGCUCCUCCUCCUCUUCCUCUUCCUUCUCCUCUUCCUUGUACCAGUUAACUUUGUCCUUCCUUCCUCCCUCUCUUCCUUCUUUUUUUUUUUCCUUCUUUCUUCUUCUCCUGUUCUGUUGUUGUUUUCUUCGCUCAUUUUUUCUUCUUCUCUUUUUUCUUCCUUGCUUGUCUUCUCCCUCUUUUAUCAUAUUUUCCUUCUUCUAUUUGUUUUGUUUUUCUUCCUUUUUCUCUUUUCUUUACUAUUUUCUUAUAUUUCUAUCUUUUUUUUCUUUCUUUCUUUUCUUCCUUCAUUUCAAGCGUAUCAUUUUCUUUCUUCUUCUUUACAAUGAACAGAAAAAUGACAAUGAGGAGGAGGAGGAGGAGUUAGAAGAAGAAGAAGAAGAAGAAGAAGAAGAAGAAGAAGAGGAGGAGGA